rnacentral:rRNA from 1 species
UACGUAGGGGGCAAGCGUUGUCCGGAUUUAUUGGGCGUAAAGAGCGUGUAGGCGGUUAGGUAGGUCCGUUGUGAAAACUCGAGGCUCAACCUCGAGACGCCGAUGGAAACCAUCUAACUAGAGUCCGGAAGAGGAGAGUGGAAUUCCUGGUGUAGCGGUGAAAUGCGCAGAUAUCAGGAAGAACACCCGUGGCGAAGGCGGCUCUCUGGAACGCAACUGACGCUGAGACGCGAAAGCAUGGGGAGCGAACCGG